UUCUCCCCCCACUGGCAUUAACAUAACAUUGGUAUCCCAUACUCUCUCAUGGCGUCCAACCCAAAUUUGUUCCUUGGAAAACCCUAACCACAAUAUCCAACACACACCACCAUCCUCCACUCCUGCUCUAUUUCAGAUGCGUUCCAUCACCUUCAUCACCACCAUCAAUUUAAACCCCUACACCACCUUCCACAAUGUUUACAACCACAGCCAUUUGCCCCAAAACCGGCCUGUUUCAAAUCCAUUUUCCCUGGCCUAUCAUCUACCAACCUCAACUUCAAGCCGACUCAAUCGCAAAUGUUCGAGCCAUAAUCAGAACCAUAUAAGCUUUAACAUAAUCGCAAAUGUUUUAGGUUGCGGCUUAUGAAUUGUUCAAAAAAAAUCGAAUCGUUUAAAUCAGUUGUUAUAUAUCAUCUCAUUUUUCUUUAAUUUUUGGUACCCUAAUUACCAGUAAUCAUCUCUCAGUCUCUCUCAACAUAUUACAGCCCAUGUUGCUUCGUCAAAUAUAUGAAGGCCGAUUGAUCGAAGCCAUCUCUGAUUUGGUCUACACAAACUUUUCCAAAUUUAGAUUUGUUGCUUUCUUCUUGAUUUGGUUCACAAUAAGUACUAUAAGGUAAUUCUAUGUUUAUACCUUUCUCAUCCAGAUUUUUGUUUUAUUUUUAUAGGGUUUCGUUUUGAAGAAUAAGGCAAAGCACUCCAUAUAUUCGAUGGAAUGCCCCAGAUAAGACGCACCUUUAUAUUUUGCUGGUUUUUGAUAUUUGGAAGAAGAUAGGUAUCAUUUAGUCUUCAUUUUGUUGUUUUAUUUUUGUUUCUGACACUUUUUGGUUUACAAACAAUUAUGUUGAGGUUGUGCCCAGUGAAAUCACAUCACAGGAAGCUAAGGGUAUGAUAACUUCAAUAUACACAGAAGUCAAAAAAAGAAAGAUCCUGGUACACCUUAGACACUAGGGGGAUUUUUGGUUAAAGUACUUUCAAGGUGGUAUUUUUACUGCUUUCUUUUGUUGAGC
rnacentral:lncRNA from 1 species